rnacentral:rRNA from 1 species
UUGCUGGAGGUAUCAGAAGUGCGAAUGCUGACAUAAGUAACGAUAAUGCGGGUGAAAAACCCGCACGCCGGAAGACCAAGGGUUCCUGUCCAACGUUAAUCGGGGCAGGGUGAGUCGACCCCUAAGGCGAGGCUGAAAAGCGUAGUCGAUGGGAAACGGGUUAAUAUUCCCGUACUGGUGGUAACUGCGAUGGGGGAACGGAGAAGGCUAGGUUGUCCGGGCGACGGUCGUCCCGGUUCAAGCAGGUAGGCAGAGUGAUUAGGCAAAUCCGGUCACUUAAUGCUGAGAUGUGAUGACGAACCACUAAGGUGGUGAAGCAAUUGAUGC